rnacentral:rRNA from 1 species
GUGCCAGCCGCCGCGGUAAUACGUAGGUGGCAAGCAUUAUCCGGAAUUAUUGGGCGUAAAGCGCGCGUAGGCGGUUUUUUAAGUCUGAUGUGAAAGCCCACGGCUCAACCGUGGAGGGUCAUUGGAAACUGGAAAACUUGAGUGCAGAAGAGGAAAGUGGAAUUCCAUGUGUAGCGGUGAAAUGCGCAGAGAUAUGGAGGAACACCAGUGGCGAAGGCGACUUUCUGGUCUGUAACUGACGCUGAUGUGCGAAAGCGUGGGGAUCAAACAGGAUUAGAUAC